rfam:Roseobacter sp. GAI101 scf_1106754216547 genomic scaffold, whole genome shotgun sequence.
UCACCUUACCAGGGGCGCUGAAAAGCUGAGAUGUACCCUUUGAACCUGAACCAGAUAAUGCUGGCGGAGGGAGGUCGUAUGUCUUGUAU